UUACGUACACCCUCCGGUUAUAAAUAUAAGGAAAAAAUAAUAUUUUAGGUUCAUUCAAUAAAUGCAUGUAUCUAGUCAAUACUAGAUACAUGCAUUUAUUGAAUGAACCUAAAAUGUUAUUUUUUGCUUAUAUUUGUGACCGGAGGGUGUACGUAA
rnacentral:pre_miRNA from 1 species